rnacentral:lncRNA from 1 species
GCCAUCGUAGCCAGCCACCAGCCCACCAGCCGCUCGCAACAGGCAGAGGAAAAAAAGGUAGCCAUCAAAUCCAUCGAUUCCCCAUUCUCUCGGCUGCCUCGUCGCCUCCGACGGCGCCGCCGUUCCCCUUUCGUCUCCACCUCGCGCCCGCAGCUCACGACGCUCGCCGUCGUCGCUUCCCGGCGAGGCCAUCCGCGACAGCCGUUUCUUCUUCCCGGACGCCGCCACCGUCUCCCCACCCCCACGCGGCACAGCGUCUCGCUCUCUCUAGGGUUUUCUCGGAUCAAGAAUCGCUGUAAGCCACAUUUCCCCACCCGUGCUACUCCCGAAUCCGCAAUCCCCAUCCGAAGAUCCUUGCAACCUCCGCCCCAAGAGUCCUCGCUGCCGGCCGGCGCCACCAUCUUCUCGCAGUGCAAGCAGCCAGUGCCUUGUCGCCUUACUUGCCGGCGACCCAGUGCCGCUUCGUCGUCGUCGAGCUAGCGGCGUCGCAACCUUCCCCUGGAGCCAUUGUCCUGCGCCAUCUCCCCGUGGACGCGGUGCCGGCCGCAGCCGUAGUCUUCUCGUGGAUCCACCGGCCAACACCGCCACCAACCAUCUCGUCCACGGCCAUCUCCUCGCUUCUCAUGGCUGCUGCUCGUCGGCUCCUCCACACCUCUCCAGUAGGUACUGCCAUGCUCUGUGCGUAGGAUACACAAUGGUCUGGGAUAUCAAUAAUGUUCCUCUUCUUUUGUAGGGUUUCAUGGCUUUGCAGAUGCUUUUGUAGCUUUCAUGGGAUGAUGAGGGCCUUCAUUUGUGCGAAUAUACACAAGUUGCUGGCAUUUCUUCAUUUUGCAUAGUACAAACUUUGUUGUUAUGUGUAAAUGAGGCCAUAUGAACGGUUCAUCACCAUGAGGCUUCAAAUCAUAGUAACCAGCAAGGUCACAAAUUUAUAAUAACAGGAUUGAUGUGCAAAUCUGAUCAGAAAAGGGAGUAAACUACAAUCAGGACUCUUUUCAGUUUUUACUGAUGACAUGCUUCCUCAGUUAAUGAUUCUUUUAUUGAUCCACUACUUCCACUCCAUGCAGUACACCUGUGAAAUGUGCCUGCUUUGACUGUUUUGUAUACAACAAUACAAGUACCCACCUCUUUCCUCUUGACAAGUACCCACCUGGUCACCUCUCCAUCAACCCCUUUCCUUCUCUCUAGGUGAGUACUAAAGGUGCACAUCAGCUAGCUAUAUAAUUUUUGGUCUUUCUUCAAUUAACAUGCAUAGAAAAGUUCUAUUAGUUUCUCUGUUAAAUUGUCUAUAUCCAACUUUACCUUCAUAUUACAUCCAGCUAAAUUGUUCCUUUUCCCUUCACAGGGUGCAUCCUAAACUGCUGUCAUAUAUAUGGUGUUUGCUUCUUAAAAUCCUUUUGCUUUACAUAAAACUGCAAUCCAGACUAUGAACGAGCACUUAUGGUUGAAAUCCUAUAGCUCUUAAUUAUUAUUACUCUGAAUGUCUACUACUUUGCUGUGCUCCUUAUUUUCAGGGUAAACAUGUGCCAUGAAAAGUUGCAUUAGGUAAGUGUCAGCCAGCUAUUGCUGAUAAUCUGGCAUGAGCUACAUUACUGUUGUUAUGGAAAAAUGGAAAGGCAUUAAACUGGGGUACUAUUGUUGCUAAUCUGGGAUGAGUUAGAUUUUUGUUGGGCUGCAUUACUGUUGUUAUGGGAAAAUGGAAAGGUAUUAAGCAGGGGUACAUAUUUGUUGCUAAUCUAGGAUUAACUACAUACUUUUUCCAGUUAGAUUCAUCUCUAGCAGCAUCAGCUUUAUAGAUCUUUGAUCUUAGUUAAUCCUAUUGAAUAGUGCUUUUUUUUCUAAUUAUUUUCUUAUCUUCCGGAAUAGCAUAUCUUCACUUUCCUAAUUAUUUUCUACAAUAAUAUAA